AUUGAACGCUGGCGGCAGGCCUAACACAUGCAAGUCGAGCGGAUGAGAGGAGCUUGCUUCCCGAUUCAGCGGCGGACGGGUGAGUAAUGCCUAGGAAUCUGCCUGGUAGUGGGGGACAACGUUUCGAAAGGAACGCUAAUACCGCAUACGUCCUACGGGAGAAAGCAGGGGACCUUCGGGCCUUGCGCUAUCAGAUGAGCCUAGGUCGGAUUAGCUAGUUGGUGAGGUAAUGGCGCACCAAGGCGACGAUCCGUAACUGGUCUGAGAGGAUGAUCAGUCACACUGGAACGGAGACACGGUCCAGACUCCUACGGGAGGCAGCAGUGGGGAAUAUUGGACAAUGGGCGAAAGCCUGAUCCAGCCAUGCCGCGUGUGUGAAGAAGGUCUUCGGAUUGUAAAGCACUUUAAGUUGGGAGGAAGGGUUGUAGAUUAAUGCUCUGCAAUUUCGACGUUACCGACAGAAUAAGCACCGGCUAACUCUGUGCCAGCCGCCGCCGUAAUAC
rnacentral:rRNA from 1 species